GGCUAUGCCUCAAUUGAUAAAGUGAACUAAUUGCCUACUUCAAAAGCAGUUUUGCAUGAAAGUCAACAUCUAAUUGGAAUUUACAAUGCCCGAUAUUUCUACACAUCUGCCACAAAUUUUAUGGAAAACAAUAUUUAUAGAAACUGAACAUACCUUGGUUAAACGUAUAUGAAAUGGAUUAUCAUCAUUGAAGAACAUCAACCAGCUGUCGGCAAUGUGCAGGUGGACUGAGGAAUUUUCCGUGUGUCCUUUAUG
rnacentral:lncRNA from 1 species